rnacentral:lncRNA from 1 species
UCUGGAAGAAUUGGUGUUCCUGGCUCUGCAGCUGGAAAAAAACAAAAAACUAAAAACACACUCUCUCUCUCUCCCCCCUCCCCCUUAAUCUCUUGUCUGACAGGGAGCAGAGAGGAAGAUCAGGGAUGAAGAGCGAAAGCAAAGCAAAAGAAAAGGCAAGUGCACUGACCCCAGCUCUCAGUUGAAUGCCUUUUCUGAUGUCAAAGUGCCAAUGCUUCCCUCACACAAACGUACCGACAUCACCAUCUUCAAGCCCUUCAUGGAUCUGGACACUCAGCCAGUCCUUUUCAUUCCUGAUGUUCACUUUGCAAAUCUUCAGCGCGGGGGGCACGUCCUUCCUGUUGCUUCGGAAGAACUGGAGGGUGAAAGGUAAGAGCUGUGCUACUUCAGCCUACUGA